GAUGAAGAACGCAGCGAAAUGCGAUACGUAAUGUGAAUUGCAGAAUUCAGUGAAUCAUCGAAUCUUUGAACGCACAUUGCGCCUGCCAGCACUCUGGCAGGCAUGCCUGUUCGAGCGUCAUUUCAACCAUCAAGCCCUAGGCUUGCGUUGGAGCCCUGCGGCUGCCGCAGGCCCCUAAAAGCAGUGGCGGGCUCGCUAUCACACCGAGUGCAGUAGAUUACUCUUCGCUCAGGGCGUGUGGCGGGUUCCAGCCGUGAAACCCCCUACUUCUCAAGGUUGACCUCGGAUCAGGUAGGAAUAUCCGCUGAACUUAAGCAUAUCAAUAAGCGGAGGA
rnacentral:misc_RNA from 1 species